GCAAGGCGCAUUAAUGAUUUUAAUGUUGUGUCGUUGUUAUAUAGGGGCUGGAUUCAAUAACAUACGGAAUUUAUUUUGGUCGUAUCAAAAUUAUAUUUUUUUUAUUAACUGCUUAUCUUAAUUGACUGUUGUGAGAUGUUGGGAUAUACAAAGUAGAGCAUUUAUAGGAACGAUUCGAAGUCUUUGAUAAUGGAAAAGGGAUACCGAAACCCUUUUUGUGUUAGUCAUCGAUAACUGAAUCAAUCGGUCGUGUUAUAUAACUCAUGGGCAUCCAAAUACCAAUUUUGUUGAGCCGAUGAUGUCACCGAAAGUAUUGGAUUCAUAGACAAUUCGAGAAUAAAUAAUUUCAUAUAUCGGCGAAUCAAACAAAUUAAAGAUGAGUUUCCGCGAUGUAAUGAUAAAAUAAGCGGUAUCACGAUGGAUAAACGCUCGUGCUGAAUGGAAAAAUUUGCGUGAGCCACUUCCGAUCGAGUGAGUGAGGGGUAAGUGAGCACCAUUUAUUUUCAAUAGUUUUCUUUAUUGUCGAAGUUAAAAAAAACAACAGCGAAAAAAAACAACAACACAAAAGCAACAACAACAAAAAUAAACAUACGGACACACACACACAUACACACACACAGAACAUACGUCAAUGUCCAUCUCAAGAGGUGAGGGGGUAAUUAACGGGUAACGGGUGGUUGUCUUUAUUACAAUAUCCAAUGUUACGUUUCUGCACAGAUUUAUGAAAUGUUUAUAUACAGAAAAAGAUGAUGAAAUUAAUCAAUUAGAAAUAAUAUAUGACAUAGUUUAUAAACAAUGUUCAUAUCUAUACUUACAUACAUAUAAUACAAAUUGAUACAAAUCCGUAACUCUCUUAAAACAUUGUACACGUAUCUUAAAUUUAUGUUUCCUUAAUUAUCAUACAUGUAUUUAUAAAUAAUUAAUAUUAUGUUACGCGCUAGAUAUUUAACAUUAUAAAAAUUAUGAUAAAAAUAACAUGUUUUUAAAUAAAAUAUCUAUUUUUCAAGGAGGUUUUAAGUGUAUUUAGUUUGUAUACUUAUGUUGUGUUUAACUAAACAUAAAAAUAUUCAAAAUAAACUCAAGUGGUCCAGUGCACUUAAGGUUUAUUUAUGAUUACUUCAGAGAUAUGUUUAUGUUUUAAAUGGGAAACCGCAUAGAUCACGCCACAGAAAAAUCUUACAUCAUCUCAUGUAUAGUUUGAAGGUCGAAUAAAACAAGAGAAAUAACUUUGAAAAAGGAUAAAAUUUUAUAUUUCACUGACUGGAUAUGAUAGAUCGGAGAUCGAACAAACAAGGAAAGGAUAAAUUUAUAUAUUUCACUGGCUCCAUUCAUAAUGGACUAAAUAUUGAUAAUGAUAAGGUAAUGUGUAAGGAUGUGUGUCCAUGACAAAUGUUUGUCCCGAUUAUACAGACUAUGGGAAAGAUUCAUACUUUCAGUGACAUGAAACUACCAGCCAAUGAAAAAAGAUGACAACGGUAUACGAACAUUCUAGUAUACAAUACAUGUAUACUAACUACUGACCAGUGCAAGCUGGUCACGACCUUUGUUGCAGUGCUGCAGACAAUAGACUGUGUGUCAGACGGUGUCACUUCACGGGACAAACUUCGUCGGGUAAAGAAUUGCCAUAACGUUCAAUCACCCACGUAUGUAUUGUCUUCUAUUUGAGAUGGCUUCAAUUGGCUUUUUGGAAACAUCAGACUGACAUUUUCAACAUACAGCUAAAAUGUGUGAACAAUAUACGUGCCAUACAACGGUCAUACUGAAUAAUCGGGAGAAAACCUGCUCUAUACAAUGAAAUAAAAGAUCUGUUAAUGAUUUAUAGAUCUUCACAAUUAUGUAUGUAAUAUGGUAUGUAAAUUACGUAAAAACCGCGUGAUGACGUCAUUGUCUAUGCAGAUAAAGUAUGUAAGUACUCGACAGUUAAUUGGUCUUAUACAUGAAUUAAAGAGGUAAAAACAUUGGAAUAACUCUUUAUUUUACCAUAUAUUUCUAUAAUCGUAGAUUUCUGCGUUAUAUAUUUAACCAAUUAUAUUUCGAUUUUUUUUUUAUUUUCUACCAUAUUAGAUGCUUGUGUUACGAUUCAUUUGAAACACUGCAAUCCUAUUGGACAAAAAAUAAUUUCAAACUAAAUCCCUUAGUGUUUGAAAUUAUUUUUUGUCCAAUAGGAUUGUAGUGUUUCGAAUGAAUCGUAACAUAUUUACUUUGGUAAAUCGGCAAACUGUUAGCCAGUCUAGUAAAUCGACUGUUAAUAAAAAUAAUUUAAAAUACUAAGCCGGUUAAAAUUUAUUAGUACGUACAUCUGCAUUUACAAAAAUAAAUUGGUCGCGCGUACUAAUAAACUUUAACCUAUACAUGUACUUAAAGUAAUUUCCACCAUAUAUUUUUUUCAUACAAGCAUUUUCAAAGUAAUCUUCUUUACAUUUCAAAAUAUUUUUGCAACAUAUAUAGAACUACAUGUAUACUGUAUUCAUUUAAAUUAUAUUGCAUUUAGAUACUUCAUUUUUUUGUGUUAUCACUAAAUCACAACCCAUUUUUUUCUGAACAGAACAUGCUUUUAACUUUUCAAUUUUUGCUAGACUGGGAAUUUGAAGUUUAUUUGUUCAUGAAUUAAUUACUUGGAUGUUUAUUUAUGAAAUACAUCAUAUAUAAUUUACAUUUUCGUACAUUUUUAUAUGUUUCAUUGAUGCUUCGUAUAUUGAAAAACGGGCAGAUGUUAAUACAGCAUUUCUGCGACGUGUUAUCAUUUUAACAUAUCACAUGUUCUCACGACACCACAGAUAAAUUGAAAAUUGAUAUAGAUCGUCAUAAUAUUUCAGAAUGAAUAACAGAACAUUCAGUAUCAAAUGACACAAGUGACUUGGUGGGCGGAACAAAUUUUUUGCGUGGGUAUUUAUACUAAAACUGAUAAACUACAAUACAUAUUACAUACAUAUGAAACUUUGUAUAGAAUCAUUGGUACAUUUUGAAAUAACGGUAAAUACAUAUGAAAUUCCUGUUUCAUAUACAGGAAAGUGGCUUUAUACUGAACAUAAGCAGAUACAUAUAUGAUUACAUGUAUAUACUAUAGUGAUAAGAAGUAAAAAUACAUACAACAAAUCACCAAAUAUAUACAUAAGCCAUGAGGUGCAAUAAUUCAACAAUUUGCAGUGUUUUCUUUUUGUUGCUGUUGUUGUUUAAAUUGAUUUAUGUUUGCGAUCGAUUGCAGUAAUGAUUUUUAUACAUGUACGAUAUAUAUUAGUUUAAAUUAUAAACAUAAUAAUACAACUUUGAAGCACUUGAACCAUUCCGGAAUUUACCUAUCGAUAACGACUGUUCCUGAUAUCAGACGACAACAACAACAACAGCAACAACAACAACAACAGCUUCAACCGCAACGACAAUAACAACACCAAAAAUGAUUAAGUUUGUAAUCUAUUUAUGUAGACAACGAGAACUUUCGUGAACAAAGUUCAUAAUGAGGCGGGUUUAUUUUCUAGAAUAUUUCACCUUGAACAAAAUAUUUGGUGCAUCUAACAAUGUAAAUUUCUUAUUUCCUCAUUAUAUACUGACUUAGAUUAAUGGACAGUAGUGCACGUGCACGUAAACAUCAUACUUUGAGAAUUUAUGGCAUUCCAAGAUGGCAACUUAUCAUUUACAUGGUCAAGUUUAUUACGUUUUAUUAUCUUAACGUAGGUAAAUGAUCAAUAAUAACGUUUACAAACUUCUAAAUUAGUUGAAUAUGUUUGUUCACAUAAUAUAACAUUCAUUACGAUAAUGGCGUAUAAAAAUAAGGAAUUCAUCAUUAUAUCAAAUAAAAAGCAUAACUGGAAUGUAGGUGCAUGCGAAAAGAAUGUGCAGUUUAAAUUUUCCAGGCACAUUUGAGUCAAUUAAGUUCUUGAAACGAAAUAAUUACCAUUUAUCAUUUCCUUUUAGCAUUAAUGGUAACCUUGGAAAUUUAAGAAAAAGAAAGACUGAUGAUGCUAGAAAAGUGACCUGGUUUUAGGACAUACACACGUAUAAGUUUGCCUGUCUGCAUUUUUAUAGGUCAUUUUGUAGUAAAAUACUGGUACGUACCAGACACCAACUACUUAACAAUCCAGAGUAAUCAAACUAACUGUUGUACAACAACAAGUUACGAAAUUCUUUUUAAUGAGUUAGUAUUUAUGUCGUUUUUAUUACUUAUUUGUCUUUUUUUGGUGUUGUUUCUUUGUUGUUGAUAUUUUUCAAGUUGUGCAAAAUAAUGGACACAAUACAUUGCAUUAUUCUAGUAGUUAUCUAAAGACUCCAGGGAAAACAAACAUAAAUUUUGAUUUUAACAACAACAACAACAACAAAAACAAAAACACCAAUA